AAACAGCAGACUCCGAGCCUGUUCGCCUACAGUCUUCACCGACUAUGGCGGAAGGCCAGGGCCGGGGGAGAAAUCCCCCCGCCUCCCGUGUUUGGAAAGGAGAUUAUGCCGAUGGGCU
rnacentral:ncRNA from 2 species